rnacentral:SRP_RNA from 1 species
AAUCGGGCCCUGUGCGACAGAUCGCUGUGAACCAUGUCAGGCGGGGAACCGAGCAGCAUUAAACGGAUGUAUCUGUGCGCCGCAGCAAGCCUGUUGUCC